GAUGAACGCUGGCGGCGUGCCUAAUACAUGCAAGUCGAACGGUAAGGCCUCUUCGGAGGUACACGAGUGGCGGACGGCUGAGUAACGCGUAGGAAUGUACCCCAAAGUGAGGAAUAACCUCGAGAAAUCGAGGCUAAUACCGCAUGUGCUCUAAGGAGUAAAGCUUUAUGCGCUUUGGGAACAGCCUGCGUAAGAUUAGCUUGUUGGUGAGGUAAUGGCUCACCAAGGCGACGAUCUUUAGCUGGUCUGAGAGGAUGAUCAGCCAGACUGGGACUGAGACACGGCCCAGACUCCUACGGGAGGCAGCAGUAGGGAAUUUUCCACAAUGGACGAAAGUCUGAUGGAGCAACGCCGCGUGCAGGAUGAAUGCCCUUGGGUUGUAGACUGCUUUUAUAUGUGAAGAUAACGACGGUAGCAUAUGAAUAAGGAUCGGCUAACUCCGUGCCAGCAGCCGCGGUAA
rnacentral:rRNA from 1 species